rnacentral:rRNA from 1 species
UUGAAAGGGAAACGAUUGAAGUCAGUCGUACCAGCGGGAAAUCAACCUUUCGAGUGGGGUUUUGGAGUUUUGAAGAGUGUCAAAACCUUUGAGAUUUCAAAAUUUUCGCUCCUUUGGUGUACUUUCUCGUGGGUAGGUUAACAUCGAUUUUGAUCAUCAUAAAAAGAUUGGAGGAAUGUAGCUUCGAUCUUGUAUUGAAGUGUUAUAGCCUUUGGUAAAUGUGAUGAUUGGGAUCGAGGAUUGCAACGAAUACCCUUUUGGGCUAUCCGCCUGAUCUCUGAUACGUGGCCUUGGCAUCGAAAGCUUGCUUAUGGUAUCAAGGUAUUACGGUCAAAAGGUUAGAACGGAUUACAUUCGUUAAGGAUGUUGACGUA